CGGGGUUUAGUGCCGCAGCUAACGCAUUAAGCACUCCGCCUGGGGAGUACGACCGCAAGGUUGAAACUCAAAGGAAUUGACGGGGGCCCGCACAAGCGGUGGAGCAUGUGGUUUAAUUCGAAGCAACGCGAAGAACCUUACCAGGUCUUGACAUCCCUCUGACAGCUCUAGAGAUAGAGUUUUCCUUCGGGACAGAGGUGACAGGUGGUGCAUGGUUGUCGUCAGCUCGUGUCGUGAGAUGUUGGGUUAANNNNNNNNNNCGAGCGCAACCCCUAUUGUUAGUUGCCAUCAUUUAGUUGGGCACUCUAGCGAGACUGCCGGUAAUAAACCGGAGGAAGGUGGGGAUGACGUCAAAUCAUCAUGCCCCUUAUGACCUGGGCUACACACGUGCUACAAUGGCUGGUACAACGAGUCGCAAGCCGGUGACGGCAAGCUAAUCUCUUAAAGCCAGUCUCAGUUCGGAUUGUAGGCUGCAACUCGCCUACAUGAAGUCGGAAUCGCUAGUAAUCGCGGAUCAGCACGCCGCGGUGAAUACGUUCCCGGGCCU
rnacentral:rRNA from 1 species